UACGGGGGGAGCAAGCGUUGUUCGGAUUUACUGGGCGUAAAGGGCGCGUAGGCGGUCAGCACAAGUCAGUUGUGAAAUCUCCGGGCUUAACUCGGAAAGGUCAACUGAUACUGUGCGACUAGAGUGCGGAAGGGGCAACUGGAAUUCUUGGUGUAGCGGUGAAAUGCUUAGAUAUCAAGAGGAACACCUGCGGCGAAGGCGGGUUGCUGGGCCGACACUGACGCUGAAGCGCGAAAGCCAGGGGAGCGAACGGG
rnacentral:rRNA from 1 species